GUAAAUUUUUCCAGUGGAUAUUUGCCCAAAACCACAGCAAUGUGCCAUUGUCACUAGUGAGUAGCAUCUGUGCUGUGCUUUGCUAAUCUAGAGUGAGGAUUAUAUGCCUUAAUUUAUUUACAUUUGUACUUAUAUAUAAAUAUAUAUUAAUUUAUUUGUCUGUUAUUUAUUUAUCAUAUUUAUUAACUUAUUUAUUAAUUUAUUGAAUUAUUUUGUUAGCCAAAAAUAUUUCUAACAGUAGCUUCUAUUUAGAGUCUGCCUUGCAUAGCUUAAUCAAUUGCAUGUUUUUAUGUCUGUGUUUUCUCUCUAAGUGGGUAAAUGGCAUGUGGUGUUUGUUGACAAGCUUCCGCUGUAUGUUUCUGCCUUCUAGACCAGUCUGCGUAUCUACACAAUGCCAUGGUGGAGUAUAGGUCAUGAGUGGUCAGGUUUUAAAGGUAAAACGUGUAAUUUUAAUAGUGGAAGGUUACUUGAGCGUUGUCGUAGAGCUCUGAAGAAAGUUAUAUUAACAAACUAUAGGCCUUUCUAAGGUUAUUGAAGCUCUAACUUGAUAUCAGAUAUGUCCUUUUCCGUGUGCUUUUGUGAGCACUCAGACUCAGUAAUGCUUCUGAGUUGAGAUGGAUUUAUUUGGCUUUAGUUUUGCUUUCUUCCCAAUUGCAGUUUUACAGGAGUCUGCUGGAACCUUAGUGCUAUGUUAUUGGCUGUUGGACAGAAACACCUUGGACGGGUUAAGGUUAGGAUGAAGGUCUGAAAUGUCAUUGUCAUGGAUCAUAGCUUUAGAAAAGUACAAAAGAUCUUACUGCCUGAUUAGUACAAUUAGGGUUUGUUGACUGACAGUCUGUCUGCAAAGUAUGGUAUCUUGAUGUUCACAUGCUAUAUUUUUCCACUUCAGUAGGCUAUUGUCAAAUGUUUUAAUUGCCUUGCUGAAACUCCUUGCUAUUAUAGGUUCAUCACCAACACAACUUUCUGAACCUUUCUUUUCACAUGACAGAUCUUUUAACUGUUCUGCCGACAUUAAAUUAGUAGUUAACCACAGAAGUUAAUUUCUAUAUUAUAUGUUAUUUUCGGGAUUCUGAGUAUACUAUAAUAUGAUGGGAGAAUGGAGUUUUGAAACAAAUUCUAUGCAGAAUUGUAAGGGUAUGCUAACAAUAUAGCGUUUUGUUAGAUAACCAGUUUUGUUGAGUACCUCAUUACUGUCAUACAAAAGGCAAUUUCUCUUUUCUGAAGAGGGACAUGGGACUGCAUAUGAUGUUAUUGAGAAUUUUGAGCAAAAGAUCAUGUUGUAAAAUGGUUCACCAUCUUGUGAAGUUUUGUUUGGUGCCUUUGAUUUUUGAAGAUGAGCUGCUUAUGAUGUAUUCAUUAAAUGUGGAGGCUAAUAGCCUCCUGCUGAGUUGUUCUUUUGUAAGGAUUUCAGUCCACACAUUUUCUGUGGAUCAGGUAAUUGAUAAUUAGAGUGUUAGCCAUGUCUUGUGACAGUUUUUAAACUUUUGCAUCUUGUUUGACAGAACCUAAAAUGUUUUAUGAAACAGUGUCAAAAGGAAAGCAGAAAUCAAUGAAGAUUCAUUGCAUAUAAUGUUUUGUCUUUUCAGAAUUUUUUCCACUAUAUUAGCAAUUUCAGGUCAGUGUACCCUACACGAUAAUUGUUGUUUUUCUGUCAUUUGUUCUUCAUUUUUUCCAUUAUGUUUUUUAUUUUCAUAUUUUUCAUACCUGACAAAUGUAUAGUGGCUGAAGAGAACACACUGAUUCUUUACAAAUGGAUUCCAUGUCAAAGUGGCUUUGAAAGCAUAAGGUAAGGGCAGCUUCACAUCUGAGUCACUAAAUUUGGACUUUUAUUAAAUUCAAGUCCAACUUGAAUUUGGUGUUGCUGUAUAGCUUGCCUUUUCUGAAGACCUCACAGAUUUCACUUCAUUAUUGUGGGGAUUAGCAGUUUAUUGAUCUGAUCUACAAGCUUUUGGGUUGUUGAAAGCAGUCAGAGUUGAGUCUUGUUUGGUGUUGGUAAUGCAGGAUUUAGUGACUGUAGGGGAAAAGGCUUAUACACAUUUGUAGCUUGCAUAGUGCCCCAAAAGGGAAUAUAAUGGAGUGAUAAGAGGUGGAAAGGUGGCCUGAGGAAGCAAAGUGAAAGACUGUUUAUGGUCAUUGAGCUUUCUCUAUUUCUCAAAACUAAACAAAGCAUUCUGGAUCUUUUUGUAUUGUAGCUGAACAUAGGAUGAACAAGCUGUGCACUAUGUUGUUUAAUGUGCACGAUUAAAGAAAACUAAAGAGUCCAGGACCAAGGUCCUUUUAGCAUUAAUUUUUGAUGACCCCCAGCUUUUUGGUCUUUUGAAAGGAAGACGGAAAUACUGAAGAGAAUAAUGGAAUGGUAGAGCCAAACCUUCAGAGAUGCAGUUCUUAUCUUGCUGACAGUACAGAGUAUGUAUUCACGUGGACCAGGUUUCUAAGGGGUAGAUGCUCGGCACACCUUGUUUUACAGUGCAUUUGUGGACUCGUUCCCAAUCACAUUCAGCUGCUUAGUUCUGGUGCACACAAACACACAUGAAUGAAUAUAUAUAUAUAUAUAUAUAUAUAUAUAUAUAUAUAUAUAUAUAUAUAUAAUAUACACACACAUGUGUGUGUGUGAGUGUAUAAUAUUUAUGAGACUGAAACAGACAAUAGAAAGGUCCAGAUUUGUUUAGAUGGAAAUUCCCUGUGUGGGAUUGUGAGAUUUAAUUUUCUUUUAUAUUUUUUAAAUUAUUUUCUUGAUGUUUCUGUUUUAUGGAAAUUGGAUUAUUGUAUUAUAAUAUACAUAUAUAAAUGUAUAUGCUGUAACUGUAGAUUGGAGCUCGCUUCAUUUCACAGCUGAUUCUACUUUCUCUGUAUGGAGAUGUAUAAGAACAAGAUGAGACCAAUGAAACACAGCCAGGAGAUGCUGUAUCAUACUUAAUUGUGCACUGAACAAUGUAUACUGAAUAAAGUCCAAAAGAAAGCACGUGAUGUUGGUUUGCGAUUACUUUCUCUGGUAAGUGAGUGUGCAUGAGAAGAAUGGGUCUGUUAUGCUGUGUUGUUAUUGAUACAGUACUUGCUGGCAUCUGGUAAAGAAGAAUCAAAAAUAAUUAUGUACUGCCUUCAGUGUCAAUUAAGCCAGCCUCUUGUUUUAUUCCUCCUUGUCAUGCUUAUGGUCACAAAUUCAGACCGGAGUACACAAGAUUUUCCAGCAUCAUUUCCUGGUUUUUCCUAAGGGAUUCUAGGACCAGUUGUGUGAUAUAAUAUGUUCAGUUUGUCAUUCUGUCCCAGGUUCUCUUUCAGUGAGCUGUGUCCAGUACUCAACUAGCAAGAGGAACUCUGGAGACAUGUUUACCAAAUGCCCAAAACAGCUAACUUACUUUGAUGGUGGAAUGGCUCAAGCCCAGUUUCAUCCUGGAUUGUGAAUCUCCUUAUGCUGCAAUGAACAGCAAGCUGAAGAUGGCAGCAUCCUUUAUAUGGAUUAGCAAAAUGUGAAUUUUACUUCAAAACUCCCACUUGACUGCUGUGGUCUGGUUUAUUGAAGAUAACCCUGUAGCCAUCUUCUAAAACAAUUAAGCAGCAUCAGGCAGACAUUUGAAGAAUUCUAGAGACGUACAAAAGGUGCAAAAAAAGUUGAAGAUCCCUUGAACUGGGGAGGGGUGUGAUGCACACCUGCCACUGAAGAUAAUAAGGAUUUUAGAUCUUCAUUUUUAUUUCUAUGGACCUAGUGCGGAGCGCAAAUGGUGAUGCUAGAAAGGAUAAACAAAAAGGGGCCUCAUUGGAUAUAUGUUUUAAACGGAUCUCCUGCCUGAUAAAAUAUUCCUAAAGGUUUUGCACCAAGUGGCAAUUGAGUUGUACACCUCAUCAUUUUAUUUUCAUUUAUAUGUACAUGUUUUCAUUUAGUAGACACUUUUGUACAAAGCAGCUUAGAAAAUAUGUCAGUGUAAUCGAAUAAACUUCAGUAUGGGG